UGAUUUGUUUCAGCCCCAGGACCGAAGCGUUCAAGUGGCGUGACUGGCGUGCCCUGUCUGCAAUCCUCCCUUUCAGUAAGCCCCAGGACCGAGGCGUUGAGGUGGCGUGACUGGCGUGA